UUUUUCCUGCUGCGCAGGCUUCGAUUCCGGUGCAGGUGCGGGGGUGUACCCUCAUGAAGGAAAUCACAUCCCUGUGUGACCCCGCCCCUGUGGCGUCCUUGGCUCUGAUCCGGUGUCUGGCUGAUGUCAGUGACCUGGCUUAUGAGUGGUGGAGAAAUUGAAAGUGCUCUGAGUUGGAUCACCCUAAAGGUGUUAUCUGUCUACUCUCCUGCUCCAGUAAUUGUAUUAGAGAAGGGCUGAGACCAGGCCUUGGAAGCAGAGGGGAGGGAAGGGGCCCCAGGGCCAGCAGUGUUGACCUCAGAACCAUUGGAUAGCCCCAUAUCACCCCCUCUGCAAGCAGCUCUUCUGAGCAGGGACCAGAGACCUUAGAAAGAAGCAGGCUGUG
rnacentral:lncRNA from 1 species